rnacentral:rRNA from 1 species
AGCAGCCGCGGUAAUUCCAGCUCCAAUAGCGUAUAUUAAAGUUGUUGCAGUUAAAAAGCUCGUAGUUGAAUUUCGGGGUCUAUCCGUUGGUCGGGCUUUUGGGUCCGUACUGGCGUUAUGGAUUCCUACCUUCUGAAUAACCGGCAUGCCAUUAAUUUGGUGCGCUGGGGAAGCAGAACUGUUACCUUGAAAAAAUUAGAGUGCUUAAAGCAGGCUAUCGCCUGAAUACAUUAGCAUGGAAUAAUGAAAUAGGACGGCAUGGUUCUAUUUUGUUGGUUUCUAGGAUCACCGUAAUGAUUAAUAGGGAUAGUUGGGGGCAUUAGUAUUCAAUUGUCAGAGGUGAAAUUCUUGGAUUUACUGAAGACUAACUUCUGCGAAAGCAUUUGCCAAGGAUGUUUUCAUUAAUCAAGAACGAAAGUUAGGGGAUCGAAGACGAUCAGAUACCGUCGUAGUCUUAACCAUAAACUAUGCCGACUAGGGAUCGGACGAUGUUAAUUUUUUAAUGACUCG